AAAGAAAAUAACAAUGAUUCCCCUAGUAACUGCGAGUGAAGAGGGACAAGCUCAAAUUUUAAAUCUGUUAGGUUUACCUAACCGAGUUGUAAUUUGAAGAGGCGUUUUCUGUGUUUCUGAUCAGCCCAAGUCCUUUGGGAUAGGGCAUCAUGGAGGGUGAGAAUCCCGUUCGGUUGAUCAGAUUCGCUUUACGAUACGUCAUCUAAGAGUCAAGUUGUUUGGGAUUGCAGCUUAAAAUGGGAGGUAAAUUUCUCCUAAGGCUAAAUAACGGCGAGAGACCGAUAGCGAACAAGUACCGUGAGGGAAAGAUGAAAAGAACUUUGAAAAGAGAGUUAAACAGUACGUGAAAUUGUUGAAAGGGAAACGAUUGAAGCCAGUCGUACCUUCGGGUAAUCAGCCUUUCGGGUGCGAUUCUGUGGAGCGUGAGGAGUUUAAACGCCUUCAUGCCUGCAUAUUCGUACACUUUGGGUGUACUUGCCCGUGUGGUAGGUUAACAUCAAUUUCGGAUGUCAUAAAAUGGCUGGAGGAAUGUAGCUUCGGUCUCGUACUGAAGUGUUAUAGCCUUUGGUAGAUGUGAUGACCGGGAUUGAGGAUUGCAACGAAUACCUUUUGGGCUAUCCGUCUGAUCUCUGAAAGUUGCUCUGGUGCCGAAAGCUUGCUUACGGUUAUCAAAGUUGACGUUCAAAAGGUUAGAACGGGUUAAAUUCGUUAAGGAUGUUG
rnacentral:rRNA from 1 species